UACGAAGGGGGCUAGCGUUGUUCGGAAUCACUGGGCGUAAGGGCGCGUAGGCGGCCGCUCAAGUCGGGGGUGAAAGCCUGUGGCUUAACCACAGAAUUGCCUUCGAUACUGUUUGGCUUGAGACCGGAAGAGGUGAGUGGAACUGCGAGUGUAGAGGUGAAAUUCGUAGAUAUUCGCAAGAACACCAGUGGCGAAGGCGGCUCACUGGUCCGGUUCUGACGCUGAGGCGCGAAAGCGUGGGGAGCAAACAGG
rnacentral:rRNA from 1 species